UGCACUCCAGUCUGGGUAACAGAGAGAGACUCCGUCUCAAAAAAAAAAAAAGAAAAGAAAAAGAAAAAGAUAUUUUCUUGCAAGUAGAGAGUGAACCCUUACCAGACAACAAAUCAGCUGACAGCAUCUUGAUCUUCAACCUCCCGACCUCCAGAACUAGCCCAAUGUUUCCAAAGGACAUUAAUUUUGAUUUCUCCAAUGAAGGCUUGUGGCUGUCCUUAUGCUUUACAAAACAUUACCAAAUCAGAGCCGAAAAGAAAACUGUGUUCCCUCCACAAUCUUGCAUGAAUGGUUCACUCAAGAAUGAUGUGACAAUAUUCCAGAAGCAGUAUUCUGCCACCCUCACUGUCAACAUCAAGCAAUCCAGAGUCUUUUAAACCAAUGUCUGCACAUGGAAGAUUCAUAGAUCAAGCUUUGUGUUCCAGUCCUAAGAAUAAAGAGUUUUCUCUCAAUAUCUUGUUCAUGUCUG